rnacentral:rRNA from 2 species
UACCGGAUACGACCCGCCACCUCAGGGUGGAGGGUGGAAAGUUUUUCGGUCAGGGAUGGGCUCGCGGCCUAUCAGCUUGUUGGUGGGGUAACGGCCUACCAAGGCGAUUACGGGUAGCCGGCCUGAGAGGGCGACCGGCCACACUGGGACUGAGACACGGCCCAGACUCCUGCGGGAGGCAGCAGUGGGGAAUAUUGCGCAAUGGGCGAAAGCCUGACGCACCGACGCCGCGGGGGGGAUGACGGCCUUCGGGUUGUAAACCUCUUUUACCACCAACGCAGGCUCGAAUUUCUCUUCGGGUUGACGGUGGGUGGGGAAUAAGGACCGGCUAACUACGUGCCAGCAGCCGCGGUAAUACGUAGGGUCCGAGCGUUGUCCGGAAUUAUUGGGCGUAAAGAGCUCGUAGGCGGCGUGUCACGUCUGCUGUGAAAGACCGGGGCUUAACUCCGGUUCUGCAGUGGAUACGGGCAUGCUAGAGGUAGGUAGGGGAGACUGGAAUUCCUGGUGUAGCGGUGAAAUGCGCAGAUAUCAGGAGGAACACCGGUGGCGAAGGCGGGUCUCUGGGCCUUACCUGACGCUGAGGAGCGAAAGCAUGGGGAGCGAACAGGAUUAGAUACCCUGGUAGUCCAUGCCGUAAACGUUGGGCGCUAGGUGUGGGGACUUUCCACGGUUUCCGCG